rnacentral:tRNA from 1 species
AGGGCUAUAGCUCAGCAGGAUAGAGCGACAGACACCUAAUCUGUAGGCUGCAGGUCCGAAUCCUGCUAGUCUCA